rnacentral:rRNA from 1 species
UGCAAGUCGAGUGGGUUUAGACCCACGGCAGGCGAGGUAGGAACACGUAGGUACAUACCCCAAAGUCAGGGAUAAUCCGGAGAAAUCCGGGAUAAUACUUGAUAGUCUCGCAAGAGUAAAGAUUUAUCGCUUUGGGAAUGGCCUGCGUUCUAUCAGCUUGUUGGUAAGGUAACGGCUUACCAAGGCUACGACGGAUAGGGGAGGUGAGAGCCUGACCCCCACCGAUGGAACUGCGACACGGUCCAU